CACAUUUCUGUCCAGACCCUGCAACACUCUAUUAGAUUCCAAAAAAAUCACUAUACUUUCUUAUCAAACGUACACUGUACAGAUAAGACGAUGGGUGGACAUUGAAGAUCAAAAGAAGACCACACGUGGAAAGGGUAAAAUUGAAAAUAGGAAAAUUUGCAUGGGGAAAGCCCAAUCUACAGUGCUUCUUGACGACGCUGCUUGGCGUGAGGGGGGGGACAACAACUGCUUACCAAUUGUUCAACUAUUUCUGCUCUUUAAUUAAGGUCAAGAAGAACUUAAAGAAAUGGCUAAGACUUAAAACAAAGUCUUGAGUUGGUUUCAGUUGCAAACAGAUUAUAGUCUAAGCUAGCUGCAGAGUAGGAGAGCACUUGAUCGAAAACAGAUAUAUAUAUAUAUAUAUAU
rnacentral:misc_RNA from 1 species